GGUCGCAUAGCUCAGUGGAUAGAGCACUAACCUCCUAAGUUUGGGGUCACAGGUUCGACUCCUGUUGCGAUCG
rnacentral:tRNA from 1 species